rnacentral:rRNA from 1 species
CGCGAAAUUAAACGAGCUAAGUUAUAAUAAUUACUAGAUUAAUAUAUGUAGCAUAAUACAAAUAAAAUACAACUUAGGGGUGAUAGGCUUUUCAAGUUUGAAGAUAUCUCGAUUCUUUAGAAAAACAUUAAGUGUAAUUACAACUGAAUAGUGAUAAGAUUAUUCAGGAUCAUAAAUGAUUAAAAUUAUUUAAACUAUUAAAGUUUAAACGCUAAAUAUUUUAUAUUACUAAUAUUAAUUUAUAAAAUGUUGUGUAUUAUAUAAAGAUCUUGUUAAUAAAUUAAAAUGUUAAUAAUGUAACUAUUAGUAUACUUUAAAAAUGUUAAAAAUGAACUCGGCAAUACACCUUUCGACUGUUUACCAAAAACAUAGCUAUAUGUAACUAUAUAUAGUAAUUUCUGCUCAAUGAUGUUUUAAAUAGCCGCAGUACCCUGACUGUGCAAAGGUAGCGUAAUAAUUUGGCUUAUAAUUGAAGUCCAGUAUGAAUGAAAUAACUGGAGGGUGUCUUUAUCUUUGAUAUAAGUUUAAGUUACCUGAAAAGUGCAAAUGCUUUUAUAUAAACGAUAGACGAGAAGACCCUAAAAAUUUUCAUAAAACUGUAUCUGUUUUUUUUGUUGGGGCAACAAGGUAACAUAAAACUUACCGUUAAAAACAAGAAUAUUAUAUAGGUGAGAUUAAAUUACUUUAGGGAUAACAGCGUAAUUUGAAAGAGUUUGCGACCUCGAUGUUGGACUAGGGAACGAUUGCUUAGAA